GCACAAGUCUAAGCCGCGGAUUAGGAAUGCGGGUGAGAAGAAGCUGGCUCGCGCAGAAAUCAGAAAAGGUAGUAGCUAGCUGACAGAGCUGAUUUCCUGACUGGCACAAGCGAUGGGGAACAGCUGCUUUUCUGGCAACAGGUACCUCUUCUCUUGGUGGCUUCCGCUGUGGAGUUCAUCAUGCAUGAAAGACGUGGCUGGCCUAAUACGUAAACAGUUCGAGUAGGACUAUCUGGGAAGAAUAAGAAGUGUGUUUGCUAUAGAGGGGCCUCAGGAAGCAGUGAUUUCCAAUUCACCGGCAAUCUUCCUUCAAUGAGGACAAGUGGACCACUUGUACAGGAAGGUACAGAAGAGAUUCCUGCUCAAAAAUGAAGGAAGAAGAGUGAUGUAAUGGAAUGAAUAUUGAAUUUGAAGCCAGAAGGCCUAGGUUCAAACCCUGCUGAUG